rnacentral:rRNA from 2 species
GGACUACCGGGGUUUCUAAUCCUGUUUGCUCCCCACGCUUUCGUGCCUCAGCGUCAGUGUUGUCCCAGAUGGCCGCCUUCGCCACUGAUGUUCCUCCCGAUCUCUACGCAUUUCACCGCUACACCGGGAAUUCCACCAUCCUCUGACACACUCUAGCUUUCCAGUAUCCACUGCCAUUCCCAGGUUGAGCCCGGGGAUUUCACAGCAGACUUAAAAAACCGCCUACGCACGCUUUACGCCCAGUAAUUCCGAUUAACGCUUGCACCCUUCGUAUUACCGCGGCUGCUGGCAC